UACGUAGGGGGCAAGCGUUGUCCGGAUUUAUUGGGCGUAAAGAGCGUGUAGGCGGCCAAGCAGGUCCGCUGUGAAAACUCGAGGCUCAACCUCGAGACGUCGGUGGAAACCGUUUGGCUAGAGUCCGGAAGAGGAGAGUGGAAUUCCCGGUGUAGCGGUGAAAUGCGCAGAUAUCGGGAAGAACACCCGUGGCUAAGGCGGCUCUCUAGUACGGUACUGACGCUGAGACGCGAAAGCGUGGGGAGCGAACAGG
rnacentral:rRNA from 1 species